rnacentral:tRNA from 1 species
GCAGUGGUGGUUCAGUGGUAGAAUUUUCACCUUCCAUGCAGAAGACCUGGGUUCGAUCCCCAGUCAAUGCG